rnacentral:rRNA from 1 species
GAAUGGAAGGGCCAUCGCUCAACGGAUAAAAGGUACUCCGGGGAUAACAGGCUGAUACCGCCCAAGAGUUCAUAUCGACGGCGGUGUUUGGCACCUCGAUGUCGGCUCAUCACAUCCUGGGGCUGAAGUAGGUCCCAAGGGUAUGGCUGUUCGCCAUUUAAAGUGGUACGCGAGCUGGGUUUAGAACGUCGUGAGACAGUUCGGUCCCUAUCUGCCGUGGGCGCUGGAGAACUGAGGGGGGCUGCUCCUAGUACGAGAGGACCGGAGUGGACGCAUCACUGGUGUUCGGGUUGUCAUGCCAAUGGCACUGCCCGGUAGCUAAAUGCGGAAGAGAUAAGUGCUGAAAGCAUCUAAGCACGAAACUUGCCCCGAGAUGAGUUCUCCCUGAGACUUAGAGUCUCCUGAAGGAACGUUGAAGACGACGACGUUGAUAGGCCGGGUGUGUAAGCGCAGCGAUGCGUUGAGCUAACCGGUACUAAUGAACCGUGAGGCUUAACCUU